ACAUGCAAGUCGAGCGGACCGACGGGAGCUUGCUCCCUGAUGUUAGCGGCGGACGGGUGAGUAACACGUGGGUAACCUGCCUGUAAGACUGGGAUAACUCCGGGAAACCGGGGCUAAUACCGGAUGCUUGAUUGAACCGCAUGGUUCAAUUAUAAAAGGUGGCUUUUAGCUACCACUUACAGAUGGACCCGCGGCGCAUUAGCUAGUUGGUGAGGUAACGGCUCACCAAGGCAACGAUGCGUAGCCGACCUGAGAGGGUGAUCGGCCACACUGGGACUGAGACACGGCCCAGACUCCUACGGGAGGCAGCAGUAGGGAAUCUUCCGCAAUGGACGAAAGUCUGACGGAGCAACGCCGCGUGAGUGAUGAAGGUUUUCGGAUCGUAAAACUCUGUUGUUAGGGAAGAACAAGUACCGUUCGAAUAGGGCGGUACCUUGACGGUACCUAACCAGAAAGCCACGGCUAACUACGUGCCAGCAGCCGCGGUAAUACGUAGGUGGCAAGCGUUGUCCGGAAUUAUUGGGCGUAAAGCGCGCGCAGGCGGUUUCUUAAGUCUGAUGUGAAAGCCCCCGGCUCAACCGGGGAGGGUCAUUGGAAACUGGGGAACUUGAGUGCAGAAGAGGAGAGUGGAAUUCCACGUGUAGCGGUGAAAUGCGUAGAGAUGUGGAGGAACACCAGUGGCGAAGGCGACUCUCUGGUCUGUAACUGACGCUGAGGCGCGAAAGCGUGGGGAGCGAACAGGAUUAGAUACCCUGGUAGUCCACGCCGUAAACGAUGAGUGCUAAGUGUUAGAGGGUUUCCGCCCUUUAGUGCUGCAGCAAACGCAUUAAGCACUCCGCCUGGGGAGUACGGUCGCAAGACUGAAACUCAAAGGAAUUGACGGGGGCCCGCACAAGCGGUGGAGCAUGUGGUUUAAUUCGAAGCAACGCGAAGAACCUUACCAGGUCUUGACAUCCUCUGACAACCCUAGAGAUAGGGCUUCCCCUUCGGGGGCAGAGUGACAGGUGGUGCAUGGUUGUCGUCAGCUCGUGUCGUGAGAUGUUGGGUUAAGUCCCGCAACGAGCGCAACCCUUGAUCUUAGUUGCCAGCAUUCAGUUGGGCACUCUAAGGUGACUGCCGGUGACAAACCGGAGGAAGGUGGGGAUGACGUCAAAUCAUCAUGCCCCUUAUGACCUGG
rnacentral:rRNA from 1 species